CGAACGCGAACGGGACUUCGGUCCCAAGUAGAGUGGCGCACGGGUGAGUAACGCGUAGAUAACCUGUCUUCAUGUCUGGAAUAAUACGCCGAAAGGGGUACUAAUACCGGAUAUUCUUGUUUUUCAUAAGGUUGACAAGAAAAGGUGGCCUCUGCAUAUGCUACUGCAUGAAGAGGGGUCUGCGUACCAUUAGCUAGUAGGUGGGGUAAGGGCCUACCUAGGCAACGAUGGUUAGCGGGUCUGAGAGGAUGAUCCGCCACACUGGCACUGGAACACGGGCCAGACUCCUACGGGAGGCAGCAGUGAGGAAUAUUGCGCAAUGGGGGCAACCCUGACGCAGCGACGCCGCGUGAGUGAGGAAGGCCUUCGGGUCGUAAAGCUCUGUCAAGAGGAAAGAAGUGCAUAGCGGUUAAUACCCGUUGUGUUUGACGGUACCUCUAAAGGAAGCACCGGCUAACUCCGUGCCAGCAGCCGCGGUAAUACGGAGGGUGCAAGCGUUGUUCGGAAUCACUGGGCGUAAAGGGCGCGUAGGCGGUUUGAUAAGUCAGAUGUGAAAGCCCAUGGCUUAACUGUGGAAGUGCAUUUGAAACUGUCAGACUUGAGUACCAGAGGGGAAAGUGGAAUUCCCGGU
rnacentral:rRNA from 1 species